rnacentral:rRNA from 1 species
AUGGGUUUCCGGUCAGGUUUUAUCAACAGAAUUGGGCUGUUCUCAAGGAUGAGAUUGUGGCAGCGGUGCAGGAGUUUUUUUACCAAUGGUGUCAUGCCGAGUGGGAUUAAUGAUACGACCAUUGUGCUAAUCCGCAAAGUGCCACAUCCAAGAGAGCUCAAGGAUUUCAGACCCAUUAUUUUAUGCAAUGUGGUGUAUAAAAUUGUCUCAAAGUGCAUGGUAAAUAGGCUUCGGCCUCUUUUAACUGAGCUUAUCUUAGAAAAUCAGAAUGCCUUUAUCCCCGGGAGGCUUAUUUCUGAUAACUCCAUCAUCGCAUUUGAGUGUAUUCAUCACAUCCAAAACAUCAAAGCAAAUUCCCCACCGUUGUGUGCUUACAAACUGGAUUUGUCAAAGGCUUAUGAUCGUGUUGAUUGGAACUUCUUGGAGAAGGCUCUUUCCAAGUGGGGUUUCCCCGAUGAAUGGAUCUCCCGUGUUAUGGCAUGUGUAACAUCUGUGAAGUAUUCUGUGAAAUUCAAUGGGAAGUUGUUGGAGCCCUUCUCCCCCUCAAGAGGGCUCUGCCAAGGUGAUCCAUUAUCCCCCUUUCUCUUCCUAUUUGUGGCUAAUGCUCUUUCUGUUCUGUUGUAUAAGUCAAUGAGAGAAGAUGGUCUGCAAGGGGUUAAGAUAUGUAGGAGUGCUCCGGUUAUUUCACAUCUGUUGUUUGCGGAUGACUCACUUCUGCUUUUUCAUGCUUCGGAACAGCAAGGUAGUGACUGGACAAGAGUGACUGUACAAUUAAUUAACCCAUCGAAGUGCUCCAUCCUCUUUUCAGGAAACUACUUGCCAACUGUGGCACAUGAGGUUAAGUCAGUUCUAGAGAUUACACAAGAAGUUUUUGAACCUAAGUAUUUGGGUCUCCCAGUUUCGGAAGGAAGAUUACAUAAAGGAAAUUUUGAAACCAUCCAGGAUCGGUUGCACAAGAAACUUAUUGAUUGGAGCGAGAAAUAUGUGUCCUCUGGAAAUAAGGAGAUUUUGAUCAAGGCUGUCGCACAAGCCCUACCCGCUUAUGUUAUGAGUGUCUUUAAGCUCCCUACUUCGGUCUAUGAUGAGCUGACUCGUAUGAUCCGCCAAUAUUGGUGGGGAGUCAAGAAUGGGAAGAAGAAGAUGGUUGAAUUUAUAUGA